rnacentral:rRNA from 1 species
CGUUGAGGCGGCCUUGUAAGUUGGACGUGAAAGCUCCUGGCUCAACUGGGAGAGGUCGUUCAAUACUGCAGGGCUUGAGGACAGCAGAGGGGGGUGGAAUUCCCGGUGUAGUGGUGAAAUGCGUAGAUAUCGGGAGGAACACCAGUGGCGAAGGCGGCCCCCUGGGCUGCUCCUGACGCUGAAGGCGAAAGCUAGGGGAGCGAACG